rnacentral:rRNA from 1 species
GCUUGACCUCGGAUCAGGUAGGGAUACCCGCUGAACUUAAG